CAAAUCUGAUCGCACGGAGGCUCGCUGUGGCUUGAUGCGGUUUGCUUGAGCAAAGGUGGGGCGAUGGGAAGGCCCUUAGCCGUGAAGAACUCAUUCCAGACUCCCAAUAAAUGACGUUUAUUCCGAAAAAGUAUUUUGUAGGUGUUAAAUAAAAUUACGAAUUUAGGCGCAUUUUUUUUAUGGGUCGGGUCUCUUUCGUUUUCACUUUCUGUUUUGAAACGCAGCACAACCGCUACUCGGUGCUGGGACCCCAUGCACCAAUUUGGACGGAUAAAGCACGAGUCUCCCCUUUAGUUUAUGGGCACUGUGGUGGAAUAGAUCCUCAGCGCCACGAAGCCUUUCGUUUCGUCACAAUUCCGCAGUGGUUGUGUUUCAACAUCUUACCGUUUGGUAUUACAGAGCGUUCUAGGUUUGAAUCCCACGACUGAACGAACACAAUAUGGACAUUGCUUGCCCGUGGGAAGUUUUACAAAUUAUGCCUAAUAGUUUUCUAAAAUGCGGGUGGUGUGCUGAGAGUGGUCUACAAGGAAGUAGAUAUCUAGGGGCAAACCACACCCUUCACUAUCGCUGUCAUACAACAAAAAACGUCUGCAAUAUUUAAUCCAUUCAGCAUACUUUUGAACAUGGAACCACAUUGAUCCUCUAGAUGCACUUCUCAAAUUAAACUCCUGGUUUCUCUGCCCAGCACCUCUUUAUUUCAACUAAAAGGACAUUCCUGAAACUCCAAUUUCUCUCCAUCUUUUUGCUCUACUU